CUUCUCUUUAUACUUCGGCGGCUGUUUUCCUCUUCUCCAACUCAACAAUAACGAUCGUUUUCAAUUGCAAAACUAUCUCAGUAAAAUUAGAAAUUUUAGGUUCAAAUUCAAGCUCAACCCAUGUUCUGUAUUUGGCUAGAAAUUGUAUUGCGCACAGUUUCGUCUUGGAAUUUAUGUGGAUUUGUCGUAAGAGAUUUAUUGAGCAUGUUUGAAAGGUUUUUGGAAGGCUACAGGUGAGUUUGUUAGGCCCAUAGGGGGAUCCCACAAAUGUGGCUAUCCGCGGAAGACCGUCCGGGAUGGUGGCUGAUAUCCUGACUAUCCUAACAUUAGAGUUUGGUCCUCACUAGUAGCAUACGUGAACUUGUCGGUUGACAAGUACAUCAUUUAUACUAUUUUGAAUGAAAAUGGAUUUGUCAUGCUUUAUGUAAUUUCUGAAGUUGGACAUGCUCAUUUCUUUAGAUUGAAUUACAUGUUGAUCGUUUUACAUUGGCGCAUUAUUUUCCUAACCCCUACCGGACUGUGGCUCACUCCGCUUUGGUUUUGUUUUCCCCACAGAGUAUGAAGCAAGGUUGAGGCAGUAAGCUUGGGAAGAGCUUGCAGCCAAGAGCUUGAGCAAAAGUUGGUAUUUUUGCUUAUCUAUAAUGUGUAUAUCACGGGAUAAUCUGGGUAGUUUAUUUUGUUGUUGUCUCAUGUCAUUUUGAUGUAUUUUUGUUGUAUAUAUGAUGGGAACUAGUAGAAAGUAUUUGCAUGGUUUGUGUGGAAAAAUUUUGUUAUGCCGAGAUCGAACAGUCUCCUGCAUGUGAAACUUAUCUUGAUGUCAAUUCAAAAAAUGUUGGCAUGUAGAUUGUGGAAUUUUUUGUUUUGCUUUAUAUAUAAAUAGUAUGAUCUUGCAUAAUGUUUAAUUUUUGGAGCAUCCAAAACUGUCUGUAAAAAAAAUUCAUUUCUAUGUUUAUGUUCUUUAGUCUAGUCUACGUUUGAACUGCACCCUUAAUUAUUAAGAGUAUUCGACUACCAUGUAUUAGUCAUAUGGAACAGUUUUUUCUUUAAUAUCUCGUAGCAUUUAUGUUUGAGAAUCUUGUUUUUAUGUAAAAAUGAUUUGAAAUAAAAUAAACUAGUGUACUGCUUAUACCUCUACUCCUUACGAGAUGUUUGGCUCUCAAGAAAUGAAUGUUAAUUUUACUUUUGAUCAAGCUUUUCAGCAACCAAGUGGAUUUAAGUACAUUUCUUUAAAUUUUAUUUUGUGGUAACCAGAAUUCAGAAACUAAAGAACUUUACCUGACAAUGUUAGAGCUAUGGUUACGAACUUUUAUCUCUUGUUUCCUCGCAUGCCAAUAAAGUGGUCUUUAAUCUUUUGUUGCUCUUUCCUAAAUUGAACGCGUCUGUUUUUAUCUUGUUGCGGUUCCGAGUGAUUUUCAUUAUACUGGAUCAUGGAAAUGAAAUGUGUCAUUUUAGUAUUCGAGUGACGUACCGGGGGUUCGGCUCUGCUAAUCGGGUUGAAAUCAACCCGUUAGAGGGGGGAAUUCUCUAGUCUGUUACAGUUGGUAUCAGAGCGUGUUUCGAUUUACCGGGACUGUGCUUUGUUGUUGUUUUUUUACUGGAUUAUUCGAUUAUUCAGGAAUUUAGUUUCAUUCAUAUGCUUCUGUUGUUUUAAAUCCAAUAGAAAUGUCCUGAUGUGUUUAAUUUGAGUCUGCAUUUGAUUAGGAAGAGCGUUAUUAUGGUUUGCAUGAAAAUUCUCUGAUUACUUUUGGGUCUGUCUAUAUGAUUCUGUUGCGAUCACUUUUAGUUGGUUUGAAAGCAGAUAUCUGAAAUGAUACUUUGCUUUGAACAUUGAAGUACCAGGUUUUGUUAAUGGUUUUCAAAAGAAUUCUUUUUAAGAUUUUAUUUUCUAUUACAGAAUGCCAAGUCUAUUUCUUUUUAUUUUGUUUUGGGGAUUUGGGAAAAAGCCAGAAACCGUGAUAUACAUAUUAAUGUGCUUGUUAGUAAUGAACAUUACUAACAAUUUCUAACUCUUGUAAAUGUUUAUUUAUUGCGAAGAUGCCUCCGAAGACUAUGAAGCUUAAAGGUGUUAUUUCAGCGAGAAAUAGUGGAGCCAAGAAUGUCGUUAUGGUAAAACAUCUGUAAUCAUGUUGUGAGCACUUGGCGCAAAUCGCACAGACCAUAGGUGGUGCCAAUGGGAACCAGAAUCAGUUGCGACCUAGUAGUGCUAUGGACUUAAAGAAAUUCAGGAAAGUGAUUGGUGAUCGAGUGUUUAAUGGUACGGAAGAAACCAUAGAAGCUGAAAGGUGGUUAAUGAGUAUGAGAAAGGAGUUCGAUGCACAUUUAGUGGUUGAAGAAGAUAGGGUAUGCUUUGCUAUGUAUAUGUUUCAUGGUAAUGCAGAUGAUUGGUUGAAUUCAGAGAAGCGAAUGAGAAAUGUGAUGGAUAUGUCAUGGGAACAGUUUGAAAAUUUGUUCCUUGAUAAGUAUUUUCCGCCUACAACAAGAUACUUGAAGUGUGCCGAGUUUGCAGUGUUGAAGCAAGGAGACAUGACGGUCACGCAACUAGAUAAGCAAUUUAGUGAGCUAGAACAUUACGGGAAACACUUAUUUGAAACACCAGAGUUCAAGGCUCGAAAACUUGAGGGUGCUUUGAAGGAUGUGAUUCGUGAUAGAGUUGUUGCAGUGGGACUAAAGACAUACAAAGAGGUUCUUAAUUCUGCAUUAGCAGUUGAGGCUAGCUUGAUGCAAAGUCAGAAA